GACGAACCGUGCGAACGUUAUUCGGAAUCAUUGGGCUUAAAGGGCGCGUAGGCGGCGGUGUAAGUUGGAAGUGAAAUCCCAUCGGCUCAACCGUGGAAUCGCUCCCAGUACUGCAUCGCUCGAGGGGGAUAGGGGUCUGCGGAACUACCGGUGGAGCGGUGAAAUGUGUUGAUAUCGGUGGGAACGGCCAGUGGCGAAAGCGGCAGACUUGACCCUUCCUGACGCUGAGGCGCGAAAAGCUAGGGGAGCAAACGGGG
rnacentral:rRNA from 1 species